AGGGAUGUAGCUCAGUGGUAACGUAUGUGCUUAGCAUGCACAGAUCCCUGGGUUCCAUCCCCCAGCACCAUUA
rnacentral:tRNA from 1 species